rnacentral:misc_RNA from 1 species
GCAAUUUCAUUAUGAUAUUUUCAGAAUAGAUUUGCAAUUCCAUGCACAUGAUAUUUGCAAAAUUCCUUGUUAUCUCUUAGUCAACUACAGAAAAGAAAAUAGAAGUUAAAGCUAAAAAUCAGGCCAAAUUUUUCUGAUGGGUGUGCAGAUUUGUGCACGCGCACACACACAUACUUAUAUUUUUUGGUUAGACGGAAGGAGGAAGAAGGGGGAUGAGCAGCUCAUAUUUACAAUAAUCAUCCCUGUUCAAAUUACAUAACUUUAUUGUAAUAAGUACCAAGAGGAAAACAAGUGUCUUCGCCUCCUGUCCUGCAAAGGAAAUAAGCAUACUUUGAAGCAUAAUAAUGGCUGUUGGGUGCAGCUUCCAUUGCUUGCUGGUAUACCUCUUCUGCAUUCCACAAAUCCUUCCUUACUAGCCACAAGAAAUCUGCAUAACAACUAAACGUCUCCGGGUCCGGUGGUCCUGACAUUAUCGCACGCUUGAAGCACUCCUCGGCCCUGUCGUAGUCAUGGCGAACUAGGUAGAGGAACUGAGCAUAAUUAGAGAGAAGAAGAGGGUUAUUUGGAUCCUCAGCUACACUCAUCUGGUAAACAAGAUCUGUUCUAUGAAACUCCACAUAAUCGUCUGGUUCAAUCUCUACAGAAAUGGGUGACAAAAGGUGCUUCAUUGUCUCUUGAUCAAGAACUGGAUAACUUGAUUCUUCUUGCAUUAUUGCAGCUUCUUCCACCACUAAGUUCCACAACUCAAUCUCUUCCUCCUCAAUGAUUUUUUCAUAUCCAGGAAAUGAAAUAUCAGGCAAUGAAGUCGAUAAUCUCUCACCACUAAUUUGUUCUAGACUCGUUUCCUGUGUGGAUAUCAACUUGUCGUACAAUCUUCUGGAUGGGCUAGCUGCCAUAUUACCAGUCAUUGAAUGUACUGUGAAAUUAACUAAAAGAAGCAUCACAUAGACCAUGAGAUUGGGAGCUCGAGAAAAGACUUGUUGAAAUAUCCAAACAAAGGAAGCAUUCAUUUCCUUCUGAAACUUAUUCACAACUGCUUGUAAAUCUUCGCUGUAAAGUCUUCCCCUUAUAGACAAAGCAUAAUUUUGAAGUUCUCGAAUUAUAAACACCAUUGAAGAAAAUGCUUUCUUCACAGAACAGUAUGCAAAAUCUCCUGCAUCUGCAAAACCCUCUUGCCAUUUUUGCUUCCUACCUAUCAUUCUCAGUGACAAAGGGAUUUCAACACUGUUUGCUUUGCGAACAAUGCUCAACUUUACAAUCUCAUCUCUCUCUGGCCACUCUGGAGGUUCUGGUUUGAUUCCAAGAAAAUUAGGCUCAAGAAACUCAAGCUUUGAGGGCAAAAACGACGUGGAAGAAUCAGUUUUUUUCUCUGCUCUUCUCGCCAUCCUUACAUGAUGAAUUUUUAGAAAUCUCUGAAACUGCUAAAGAUGCAGUAUCAUUAUCAUCGUUGUCAUCUUUAUCAUCUGUAACAUCAAACUUCAUUGAGAAAUCUUCAGUCUGAUUCGUAAACUCUUCAUUUAAAAACUCGUUAGAAUCAGCACUGCAAGAUCGUUUUAGACCAGGAGUUCUAAGAUUACCACAAGAACCAAAAAGGGUAGAUGGACGACCUAAUGGAUAGGCCAACGAGGGAUUGUUUAGGCUACGAAAUGAGGAUAGAGAGUAUGAUCUUGGACAAACAGGUUUCCUACAAGAAGGUGGUGAAUGAGGAACUAGAAGAUGUAAAUUUUGCAGGCUUCGAAGACCCUCUAAUCCCAUUUAUUAUAGAGGCCAAAGAUGUGCUAAAACAAAUACAGCAAUGAACAAGAUUUGAUUCUUCUUUCAAGGCUAGAAGAAGAAGAAAGAAGAUGCAGAAAUGGAGGUAUAGGUAUGUUUAACAAGUCAAAAGUCUCAAGA